CGGGGACACCAGAAGCCGUAGUCCCUCUGGACAGAAAUGGGAGACUCAGUCGAGUCUGAGCUGGAGAGGAGGUCGACAGGUCGGGGGUAGGACUCAUCGCAGUCUGGGAACCUAAGAGGAGAGGAAACAUGAUGUGGACCUAGAAUUCUCCAGGGGUUUCCCGUUCGUGGACCAUCAAUGUGCUGGGACAAUGUCUGGUACGUCAGGAAGAUCUGCCACGCUCCCGCUUAUCACACGAGGGUAGUACGGUACCAUUAUGGCACGGGAAAAAGUGGAUUCCCAGCCCUGAGGCCGCCGCGCCACUUCAGCUUUGGGGUCAUUGGACGGUCAGUGACAACAUACGGAGGAUGGAUCCACUGAGGUAAAUGCUGUAUUUGUAAAGAAAAGAAAAUGAGUAAUGGCUGCGGUAAACACUUAUUUAUAGUACGUUUAUUUCUAACUGUUUUUUGUUGUAUUGUUGUAAAAAAAUGUAUAAAUCUGGGUACCUCCAACCUCAAAAUACAUUCUCCACGUACUUAAUAUUUUUUUUAAUCUAAACUAAAACAGACAAUGUCAAAUAUAGAAUGGAACAACUAAUCAUCCAAAGAGAGCCAUACUGCAGUGCAUAUUUGUAUUUUUACAAAUUCUCUUAACAUUAACAUUAAACUAAAAAAUGUAAAUAAUAAUUUUUAAAUA